AGCAGCCGCGGUAAUUCCAGCUCCAAUAGCGUAUAUUAAAGUUGCUGCAGUUAAAAAGCUCGUAGUUGAAUUUCGGGACUAAUAUGUCGGUCGUGCCUCGGUACGUACUGGCUUUGUUGGUUUCUCCCUUCUGACGAACCAUGAUGUCAUUUAUUUGGUGUCGUGGGAAAUCAGGACUGUUACUUUGAAAAAUUAGAGUGUUUAAAGCAGGCUCACGCUUGAAUAUAUUAGCAUGGAAUAAUGAAAUAGGACGUUUGAUUCUAUUUUGUUGGUUUCUAGGAUCGACGUAAUGAUUAAUAGGGAUAGUUGGGGGCAUUAGUAUUCAAUUGUCAGAGGUGAAAUUCUUGGAUUUAUUGAAGACUAACUACUGCGAAAGCACUUGCCAAGGAUGUUUUCAUUAAUCAAGAACGAAAGUUAGGAGAUCGAAGACGAUCAGAUACCGUCGUAGUCUUAACCAUAAACUAUGCCGACUAGGGAUCGGAUGAUGUUGAUUUUUUAAUGACUC
rnacentral:misc_RNA from 1 species